rnacentral:rRNA from 1 species
GUGUCAGCAGCCGCGGUAAGACAGAGGUGCCAAGCGUUAGGCGGAAUCACUGGGCUUAAAGCGUGUGUAGGCGGACGCGUAAGUACCUUGUGAAAUCCCACGGCUCAACCGUGGAACUGCUGGGUAUACUGCGUGUCUUGAGCCACUUAGGGGUCGUCGGAACAAACGGUGGAGCGGUGAAAUGCGUAGAUAUCGUUUGGAACGCCAACGGUGAAAACAGACGACUGGGAGUGUGCUGACGCUGAGACACGAAAGCCAGGGGAGCGAACGGGAUUAGAUACCCGAGUAGUCC